rnacentral:rRNA from 1 species
CAGGCUAACACAUGCAAGUCGAACGCACCGCAAGGUGAGUGGCAGACGGGUGAGUAACGCGUGGGAACUUCCCUUUGGUACGGAAUAACUUCGGGAAACCGAAGGCUAAUACCGUAUAUCUCCUCCGGGAGAAAGAUUUUAUCGCCAAAGGAUGGGCCCGCGUUGGAUUAGCUAGUUGGUAGGGUAAAGGCCUACCAAGGCAACGAUCCAUAGCUGGUCUGAGAGGAUGAUCAGCCACACUGGGACUGAGACACGGCCCAGACUCCUACGGGAGGCAGCAGUGGGAAUAUUGGACAAUGGGCGCAAGCCUGAUCCCAGCCAUGCCGCGUGAGUGAAGAAGGCCUUAGGGUUGUAAAGCUCUUUUGGCGGGGACGAUAAUGACGGUACCCGCAGAGUAAGCCCCGGCUAACUUCGUGCCAGCAGCAGC